CACGUAGGGCGCGAGCGUUGUCCGGAAUUAUUGGGCGUAAAGAGCUCGUAGGCGGCCUGUUGCGUCCGCUGUGAAAGCCCGGGGCUUAACCCCGGGUCGGCAGUGGAUACGGGCAGGCUAGAGGUAGGUAGGGGAGAAUGGAAUUCCCGGUGUAGCGGUGGAAUGCGCAGAUAUCAGGGGGAACACCGGUGGCGAAGGCGGGUCUCUGGGCUGUUACUGACGCUGAGGAGCGAGAGCGUGGGGAGCGAACAGG
rnacentral:rRNA from 1 species